rnacentral:rRNA from 1 species
GACGGAGGAUGCAAGCGUUAUCCGGAAUGAUUGGGCGUAAAGCGUCUGCAGGUGGCAGUUCAAGUCUGCUGUCAAAGACCGGGGCUUAACUUCGGAAAGGCAGUGGAAACUGAACAGCUAGAGUAUGGUAGAGGCAGGUGGAAUUCCCGGUGUAGCGGUGGAAUGCGUAGAGAUCGGGAAGAACAUCGGUGGCGAAGGCGGCCUGCUGGGCUCUUGCUGACACUGAGGCGCGACAGCGUGGGGAGCAAACAGG